AACGUAAAGGAAUUGACGGGGGCCCGGCACAAGCGGAGGAACAUGUGGUUUAAUUCGAUGAUACGCGAGGAACCUUACCUGGGCUAGAACGCAUUCGGAAUCAGGCCGAAAGGCCUGCGCCAGCGAUGGCCGCUUGCGAGGUGCUGCAUGGUUGUCGUCAGCUCGUGCCGUGAGGUGUCGGGUUAAGUCCCAUAACGAGCGCAACCCCUACUGCUAGUUGCCAGCGGGUCAUGCCGGGGACUCUAGCGGAACUGCCAGCGUAAGCUGCGAGGAAGGUGGGGAUGACGUCAAAUCAGCACGGCCCUUACGUCCAGGGCUACACACGUGUUACAAUGGCCGGUACAGAGGGCAGCCACCCCGCGAGGGGGGCGCGAAUCCCGAAAGCCGGUCCCAGUUCGGAUCGGAGUCUGCAACCCGACUCCGUGAAGCUGGAUUCGCUAGUAAUCGCGCAUCAGCCACGGCGCGGUGAAUACGUUCCCGGGCCUU
rnacentral:rRNA from 1 species